GAUGAAGAACGUAGCGAAAUGCGAUAAGUAAUGUGAAUUGCAGAAUUCAGUGAAUCAUCGAAUCUUUGAACGCACAUUGCGCCCGCCAGUAUUCUGGCGGGCAUGCCUGUUCGAGCGUCAUUUCAACCAUCAAGCCCCAGGCUUGUGUUGGGGACCUGCGGCUGCCGCAGGCCCUGAAAACCAGUGGCGGGCUCGCUGUCACACCGGGCGUAGUAGAUUUUAUCUCGCUCAGGGCGUGCUGCGGGUUCCGGCCGUUAAAAAGCCUUUUUUACCCAAGGUUGACCUCGGAUCAGGUAGGAAGACCCGCUGAACUUAAGCAUAUCAAUAAGCGGGA
rnacentral:misc_RNA from 1 species